GGUGGUGGUGGUGGUAGGGGCUAUUUUUACCAAACACGUCACCAACCACCGCGGUUUGCGCAGAGAGGCACUCCCGGUGCACCAUGUCUUCCGCGCUCGGGUAGCACUGGGGCAAGUUCCCCCGGUGCGGCCACUUACCGGGCGCCUCGAUGCCCGCAUAGUCCCUGAAUGUCACCUCCCUGACGGGCUGGACCUGCGGCAGGUUGGAGGAAUAGGAGUAUGACAUUGGGCGGGUGGAAGGGGUCUGGGACAAAAACGAGGGAAGACCAGAGAAAUCGGCCCCCGCCGACACGUAAUAAGUGCAACUGGGCAAGUACAUGUUCGAUCCGACGGGGACCCGCUCGUCAAAAUCCAUCAUCGUAGCUCGACCGUUUCUACAACUCUGUGCUGGGCUUAGAUUCUUCUAUAACCACCCCGAACAUGGCUCUGAAGCGCCGUGCCUCUCGCCUCUUUGAAGCAGGUUCGCUAAGCACAAAUUGGGAGACGUAAGCUGACGUGGAGAGCCAUCUCCAUCGACUCCAUUAAGGAGGAGCCCACGUGACCACGCAGCAGGAAUUGACAGAUUUUCAGGCUCCGGUUGUUGUGUGCGUGGGCGUGCGUGCGUGCGCGCCUCCAAGCCCCUGGCAGAGCCAGACAGACACCACAAAACUGGCCAGGCGUGAUGGGAAGUCGCCACCUACGCGGACUCAAAGUCAGCAGCUGGGGAAUUUCAAUAAUUAUAGAAACAUUUGUCCAUGCGCAACUGAGGUGACAGAAAUGUGAGCAGACGGGAGAUUGCGGCGACAGAAAAAGAAAGUGCGGGGAGGCCACGCAGGCGGACCACACAGGGGGGGGAGAACCGAUCAACUCCACGGUCAACGGGAACAGUCCUUUCUGGAAAAUCAGGAAAAGCGAAGCUGUCCCGAGGAAAAAAUGCACAUAACUUGGACUAUAUAUGAGGAAAUAAAAAGGAGAGUAAACUAA